UACAGAGGGGGCAAGCGUUGUUCGGAAUUACUGGGCGUAAAGGGCGCGUAGGCGGCCUGUUAAGUCGAACGUGAAAUCCCCGGGCUCAACCCGGGAACUGCGUCCGAUACUGGCAGGCUUGAAUCCGGGAGAGGGAUGCGGAAUUCCAGGUGUAGCGGUGAAAUGCGUAGAUAUCAGGAGGAACACCGGUGGCGGAAGGCGGCGUGCC
rnacentral:rRNA from 1 species